ensembl:lincRNA
AGUGUCAUUAGCAGCAGAAUACUUGGGAUUGUACCUACAGGUUUUAACCUUUUAAAGGUGAAGAGGGAGGCGACUUGAUUACUACCAUCCUUCUCCUGGGGAAUGUGAGUCAGAACCACAACACUCAGCAGUUUGCAGCAUAGAAUUUCCAAGUCAACACUGUUACAAAUCAUCCAAGGCAGUGAAAUGUUAUUAUUAAUAGUUAAUUUGAAACUGAAAAUUAGCUCAGUUCUCUUCAGCGCGACCCCUAGGUUUACUUUCCGUAAGACAUUUUUCACAAUGGAGACAUCUGUAUUAUAUGUAGAAUGGUUUGUAUAUUCUCCAUGUCACAUAGAAGCAAGAACAGCUGCAUGUUAACCAUGUAAUCACAGAACUGUGUGAAGGCUAUAAUUUAUAAUGACAACACUGUCACUUUGCAGAUAGAGAUUACACCAUCUAAAAUGUGAAUUCUGAAAAGUGUCUGUUAUCUCUGAAAGUGUCCCAGUAAAACAAAGCAGGAAUGGCAGCAAGAAAAGGAGCUCCAUUUACCUUUCCUUCAUAUGGAUAGGAUGCCUCAGAGUCCAGGCCUCUGUUCUCCUGAACAUACCGGAAGGGAUUAUCCAUGAAGCCACCACUGCAGCCCUCAUUGCCUUGAGGCUCAGAGCAGUCUACCAGAUUCUGCUCAUUCAGUGAGAUAAGUUUGCCUGUUUUCCAGAACAUCUACCCUUCCAGAGCACCAGUUGCACCAAAAGCCCAACAAGAGCCACACUGACCCUGAAAAGAGAAUAAAAAAGCUGAUAUCCACACACACACACACACACACACACACACACAGAGCAAGACUUUUAACAACAUGAGUAUUUAGCUCAUGUAGCUAAAUACUCCUUUAAAAAGUGAACUGCGGCGUGGAAGAUAAGGUGGCGCGGGAAGUGGACACAGGGUGGGCUGGAGCUCAGAUCUAACUGGACUCUCGCUCCUGCUGGCUGGACAUGGAGGAUUUGGAGGAAGAUGAGUCACCCAAUUGCAAUCUGUUCCCUGCAUCCAAAAGCCCAGCAUCUUCUCCUCUUACCCGAUUGACUCCCCCAGUCCGGGGGAGAGCCGGGCCCAGUGGGAGAGCAGCGGCCAGUGAGGAGACCAGAGCAGCCAAGUUGCGGGCCUGCCAGCCAAAUUUCACUCACCAGCUGGAGUGUGUCACCUGGCAGAGGUGCCCUACCUCCGGAUUCUCUGUCAACUCGAAAAGGGCUUCCAAGACCAAGCACUGCAGGACACAGAGUGUGGGAAAGUGGACACAAGGUUCCUGUUUCCCAGCGAGUAAAUCUUCCUGUCAUGGGUGCCACUCGCAGCAAUCUGCAACCCCCCAGGAAAGUGGCAGUCCCAGGACCUGCCAGGUAAAGAGAUCAGGACAGCAAGCAAGACUUCAGUAGCAAACCACUACGGUCAGUACCUGGACUCGCCUCUACCCAGCAGACCCUGACUCCAGCAGACUCUGGCCCAGGGACAGGAGGAAGAGAUGCCACCAGGGCUGGUCUCCCAGGAGUAGAGACCAUGGGAAAUGGGGUGGAUUAGGAUUGAGCUGGAGAAGACUUAAACUCUCUGGGUUGAAAGAAGAUUAGGGGAAAAGAGGUCACCUUCCAGCAAUGAAAUGAAACAAAUAGAAGAUGAGAAGUACAGGCAAGUGGUUUGUCUUUAUCCACCCCCACUGUUGUGGUCAGCCCCAGAGAAUUUUAUCUUCUUCCUUGGCAUUGGUUCACUGGACAUUUCCAUGUGAGCGGCCUCCGUAGCUAACCUCCCCGCCCUCUGAGGAGCCAUCUUCCUGAAUCGCAUUCUCUACUGGACUCUGGCCUGCUUGGAGAGGUGGCAGCAGGCACCUGGUCUUCAGAAAUUGUUUCCUGUGAAUUCUGUGACUCCUAAUAGGCCAGUUUGUGAUAAGCUUACUCUAUGAGUCUUCAUUUUUCUAAAAUAAAGUGAAUGUAUUUAAAAAAAAAAAAGUGAACUGCAUGUUGCUGCACAGUCUACCAUAGCACAAAUGUCAAUUGCUUCUUGGCUUUCCUGGGGUGAUGGGAGGUCUGAACCUAACACAGUCUCACCUGAUCCUUCACAGGAGUCACGUAGCCUUUCUCUCUCCAGUCCACAGAUGUGGGGAUCUCAAGAAGCAGGCGUUCCUGGAACUGUUUCCCCUUCCUGUGCUUCUGGUAUUGAAAACCAUUCAUCACCUGCCUGAAUUCUUCAGUGGUCUUCAAAGAAAAGUAAAUAAAAUGUUAAGAAGCAAGAGAUUAAUUUGGUAAAGAACUGAGGAGGGGAAGCACAGAGCUGGGCAGCCCACAGCAUACUUACCAUGUCUCCAAAGGCGUUCAUGGCCAUUGUGAAGCUGUGUUUCCCUUGGCUGUAUUCCUGAUUGUGCUGCUCAGUCAUCUUCAUGUUCUUCUCUCAUACUGCUCUCCUCCAUCCUUCUUCAUUCUAAAGGCAAACAUGUAACUGAUGCUCUUCAUUUCUUUUUUUUUUUUUUGAGACGGAGUCUCGCUCUGUCGCCCAGGCUGGAGUGCAGUGGCACGAUCUCAGCUCACUGCAAGCUCUGCCUCCCGGGUUCAUGCCAUUCUCCUGCCCCAGUCUCCUGAGUAGCUGGAACUACAGGUGCCUGCCACCAUGCUAACUUUUUGUAUUUUUUUUUUAGUAGAGACGGGGUUUCACCGUGUUAGCCAGGAUGGUCUCAAUCUCCUGACUUUGUGAUCCGCCUGCCUCGGCCUCCCAAAGUGCUGGUAUUACAGGCGUGAGCCACCGUGCCCCGCCAAUGCUAUUUAUUUCUAAUUAAAACCCAACAUAUGCUAACCAAGUGAAUCUUCAGACAGAGAUGUAAGAGUAACCAUGGCCAGGGAAGGCUUGACACUUCUAGGAGAUGUUCUCCAAGCUGAGACACAAGGGUGUAUGCCCAUAUCGUGCUCAUAAUCAGUGCUAUUAAGUUAUUGCGUUAGGUUAUUGGUAGGAGCCAGCCUCUAGAAGCCACUCUCUGGCCAUAUGAUCCCAAUAGCAAUGCCCAUCUCUCUGGGGUUCCCCUGGACAGUUUCAGAUGCCACCAACCAUGUCAUAUAAUCUCUUGUGCUUUGCCUUCCACUUGGUCCAUUGUGCGUCUAAACUGUGGUCACAUGUUAGAGCAGCUGAGGCAAUUCCCAGGCAAAAGGCAGCCAGGAGGAGUGAAGGAUUCAUGUUUCAAAAAUCUAGGAAGGGAAAAGAAAUGAGGAUCUGAUUAGACUGAUCCUAAAAAGCCAUUUUACUACGCCCUGAGAAACUAGGGCCACCAUGGUAGAAUAAAAAUAUUUAAAUUAUUCUUCCAAGCAUUUACCUAAGGACUGUGGAAGAGGCCAAGGAUGUGGCUGGAGAAAAACAGGGCAAGUGGAGGUAUUGGAUGGACCCACCAAAAUGAAAAGCAGCCUGUCCAGAGCUGUAGGAGUUGAAACAGUUUUCUGGGAUGAUGAUGACAGGCUAUGAAAAGGACAGGAAGUUACCUGAUGGGCGAGAAGCUUAAGGCAACAACCAGGAAACUAGGAAACCGUUGGCCCAGGUUUUGUACCAAUUGUGCUGAGGUCAUCCAGGCAAAACCUCAAGAAUGAAGACAUCUAAUUUCAAGAAGGGACAAAGGGAUCCCCAAUAAUUGGGAAGUCACAUCACACCUUGUUCUUGGCUAAUACACAGCAGAAGGUGAAGUAUGUUUUCCAAAUGCCCCUUGUAAUGAAACAGUUCUUGAAUGUCUUCCCAGGACAAACUGGGAAGGAGAGCACCUAUCUACCGCCGUUCCCGCAGUCCUGCAGUCCUGCAGGUGGGCCAGUCCUGCCAACACUCCAACUCCCCUCACAGAGCAUAAACUGAAUCAGGUGGCCGAACCACCGGAAGCCAGAGUCCCC